GUGAGGAAUUUUCCGCAAUGGGCGAAAGCCUGACGGAGCAAUGCCGCGUGAAUGAUGAAGGUCUUAGGAUUGUAAAAUUCUUUCACCGGGGACGAUAAUGACGGUACCCGGAGAAGAAGCCCCGGCUAACUUCGUGCCAGCAGCCGCGGUAAUACGAAGGAGGCUAGCGUUGCUCGGAAUUACUGGGCGUAAAGGGCGCGUAGGCGGACAGUUUAGUCAGAGGUGAAAGACCAGGGCUCAACCUUGGAAUUGCCUUUGAUACUGGCUGUCUUGAGUACGGGAGAGGUGAGUGGAACUCCGAGUGUAGAGGUGAAAUUCGUAGAUAUUCGGAAGAACACCAGUGGCGAAGGCGACUCACUGGCCCGUUACUGACGCUGAGGCGCGAAAGCGUGGGGAGCAAACAGGAUUAGAAACCCUUGUAGUCC
rnacentral:rRNA from 1 species